rnacentral:rRNA from 1 species
GUGAGGAAUAUUGGUCAAUGGUCGCAAGACUGAACCAGCCAUGCCGCGUGCAGGAAGACGGUCCUAUGGAUUGUAAACUGCUUUUAUACAGGAAGAAACCCUCCCACGUGUGGGAGCUUGACGGUACUGUAGGAAUAAGGAUCGGCUAACUCCGUGCCAGCAGCCGCGGUAAUACGGAGGAUCCAAGCGUUAUCCGGAAUCAUUGGGUUUAAAGGGUCCGUAGGCGGUCUUAUAAGUCAGUGGUGAAAGCCCAUCGCUCAACGAUGGAACUGCCAUUGAUACUGUAGGACUUGAAUGCUUAGGAAGUAACUAGAAUAUGUAGUGUAGCGGUGAAAUGCUUAGAUAUUACAUGGAAUACCAAUUGCGAAGGCAGGUUACUACUAAGUGAUUGACGCUGAUGGACGAAAGCGUGGGGAGCGAACAGGAUUAGAUACCCGAGUAGUCC